AGUGAACGCUGGCGGUAGGCCUAACACAUGCAAGUCGAACGGCAGCACAGUAAGAGCUUGCUCUUACGGGUGGCGAGUGGCGGACGGGUGAGGAAUACAUCGGAAUCUACUUUUUCGUGGGGGAUAACGUAGGGAAACUUACGCUAAUACCGCAUACGACCUACGGGUGAAAGCAGGGGAUCUUCGGACCUUGCGCGAUUGAAUGAGCCGAUGUCGGAUUAGCUAGUUGGCGGGGUAAAGGCCCACCAAGGCGACGAUCCGUAGCUGGUCUGAGAGGAUGAUCAGCCACACUGGAACGGAGACACGGUCCAGACUCCUACGGGAGGCAGCAGUGGGGAAUAUUGGACAAUGGGCGCGAGCCUGAUCCAGCCAGACCGCGUGGGUGAAGAAGGCCUUCGGGUUGUAAAGCCCUUUUGUUGGGAAAGAAAAGCAGCAGGUUAAUACCCCGCUGUUCUGACGGUACCCAAAGAAUAAGCACCGGCUAACUUCGUG
rnacentral:rRNA from 1 species